AUAACACAGACAAUCCACAUCAAGAGUAAACCUGUCACCACAUAGUCCCAGUAACCGUGCCAGGCCGUAGACUGGGGUCCUGGUCUUCCUGUCCUAUAUAUGUCUAUGUGUAUAUAACACCUGUACUUACCAUUCACCAAGCAUAGACUGUUUGCCUAUACCCGCCAGGCCGUAGAAUGGGGUCCUGGACUUCCUAUACCUGCCAGGCCGUAGAAUGGGGUCCUGGACUUCCUGUCUAGAACUAUUGGAUCAUUCAGCAUUUACCCACACCAACAAUAUAGCUAUGCAAUGCAACAUCUUUGUGAGUUCUAAUGCAAGCAACCUAUUGCAUAAACAUGAUGCAUGAAAGAUGCCAAAAGCAGUU
rnacentral:lncRNA from 1 species